CCACAUGCUUAGCGUUCCAAUAUUAGAACACUAGGCAUAAAUUUAAUAUAGUUUACAAUGUCCUGUAUGAUCUGACCACAAUCUCUCUAGCCUUACCUUCCACUAGCCUUCUCAUCUCACUGUUGUGUUUCUCUCUUCUCCAUCGCAAAUGACAAGUUUCAGUCCCAUUUCUUCCAUAAUUUAUUUUGUUACAGAGCAUGUUCAUAUAUCCAGACAGUUGUUUCUACCUGGAAUGCUUUCUACCCAUUCUUCCUUUCAUAUUACUCCUUAUUCUCACAUGUCAAGCCAUUUGAAUCUAUCAGUCACUCAUAGUCAUAUUGUAUCUUUCAGCCACAGGCUCUUUGCAUAUGCUUUCUAUUCUAAAUACUUUUCUAUGCAUGCCAUCUUUCUUUUUAUCUAGGUGUCUCUACUCAUUCCAGAUCAGCUAUCCCUUUUCAAAGAAGUCAUUCUUGCCUAGCUUAUUAAAUCAAAUCUCUUUAAGUGACCUUAUAUCCUGAUAGCUCUCUUUUGUUGCAUUUAUCAUUGCAAUAGAUUUACUUCUGUGACUUUUAAGAUGUUUGUAUCUUCCACUAGGUUCUUGAAAGCAGACAUUCUGUCUGCUUUUGCUUACUCUCUUAGGCAUAUGAUUCAUUUUUAGAGUACAUUCAUAUAUAGAUAUUCUAGUAUACUACACAAAAUAUGCAUAUUAAAAACUUUGGCAUGAAAUUGGAAUUUAUUUUUAAUUUUCUAAUUUUAAACAUCACUUGUAUUUGAUAAACCUUUUAAAGGUAAUUUCUGCCUGCAGUCAGAAUUAGAGAAAAGAUAAGCCAUUUUAAUAUGUUUUCUAGCACUUACUAAAAUAUUUUACUUAUUAUUUGUACUUCCAAAAUUUUUGACCGACUGGAUUUCCAUAUGGAAUAUUUUUCAACUUUAUUCCUAGAUAUAGUAAUGUUGACUGUAAAAACUUUGUCAUUUGUUUAAAAGGUUUUAUUUUAUAUAUUUUCUAUUAAAAGAGUGAUUUUUACCCUACUAUAUAAAGGUGAAAGCUUUCUUUUCCAAAUGUAACUUACAUUUCUUUUUCAAAUGUAAUUUCAAAUGUAAUUAUGGGGUUGUAACCCCAUAAAUUGGUAGAUGAAACCAAAGAUCAGUGAUAUGGGUCUAGAUUGGAAGAGCCAAACAAAUAUUCUAAAUUUUUAUUUGUGUAAAUUUACGGGAUACAAGUGCAGUUUUGUUACAUGCAUCCAUCACAAAGAGGUCAAUUCAAGGCUUUUAGGGUAUCUAUCACCCAAAUACUUUACAUUAUACCCAUUCAGUAAUUUCUCUUCACCCACUCUAUCUCAUCCUGUCACCCUUCUGAGUCACUAUUAUCUAUCAUUAUACUCUCUAUGUCCAUGUUUCUACAUUUGUAUGUCCACUUAUGACUGAGAAUACACAAUAUUUGUCUUUCUGUGUCUGACAUAUUUCAUUUCAGAUAAUGUCCUCCAAUUUUGUCCAUGUUGCUGCAAAUGUCAUAAUUUCAUAUUUUUUUGGCUGAAUAGUACUCCAUUGUGUAUAUAUGCCAAAUUUUCUUUAUUCAAUCAUCUAUUGAUGACACUUAAGUUGAUUCAAUGUCUUUGCUACUAUAAAUAGUGCUGCGAUGAGCCUAUCAGUGCAGAUAUCUUUUUGAUUCAUUGAUCUUUUUUCUUUUGGGGAGAUACCCAGUAGUGUGACUGCUGUAUGAAAUUGUAGUUAUACUUUUAGUUCUUCAAGAAAUCUCCAUACUGUUGUCCAUAAAGCUUGUACUAAUUUACAUUCCCACCAACAGUAUAUGAGAGUUCCCUUUUCUCUAAAUUCUCACUAAAAUCUGGUAUUUUUUGUCUUUCUAAUAGCCAUUUUGACAGGCAUAUUAUAUCUCAUUGUGCUUUUAAUUUGCAUUUUUCAGAUGCUUAGUGAUGUUGAGCAUUUUUUCAUAUACCUAUUGGUCAUUUGUAUGUCUUCUUUUGAGAAGUGUCUAUUAAUGUAUUUUGCCCACUUUUUAAUUGGAUUACUUGUUUUGGGGUGGGGGGUUGUUGUUGGUGGGUUAUUUGAGUUCUUUCUACAUCCUGGAUAUUAGUCCCCUGCCAAAUGCAUAGUCUGCAAAUAUUUUCUCCCGUUCAACAGGUUGUCAGCUCUCUCUGUUGAUUGUUUCUUUUGCUGUGCAGAAGCUUUUUAGUUUAAGUUCAGUUUGUCUAUUUUUGUUGCGUGUACUUUUGAGGUCUUAGUCAUAAAUUAUUUGCCUAGACCAAUAUCCAAAUGAGUUUUUCCUAGGUUUCCUUCUAGUAUUUUUAUAGCUUCAAGUCUUAUGUUUAUGUCUUUGAUAUAUUUUUAAUUUAUUUUUGUAUAUGGUGAGAGAUAGGGGAUAGGAGCCGUGUUUGUUUGUUUUUGUUGUUUGAGGGCCCCGUUUUGAUUGCAGGAGAGGCCCGUCUGGAGCUGCCACUGCGAAGACGCGGGCUGCAGCGGGGGAGGCGGGGAGGGGGCUGCGCACUCCACAGAGCCAAGGGAAGCAAGGAACAGGUGGAAGUCCCGCCCCCUUCCGAGUUAGCUGGGCAGGAGCCUCCUGCUUCCCAGGUGAAGCUGCAGCCACCCAGCUGUGUGUGCGGACCCGGGCAUUUCUGUGCUCUUGGGGGCCAGGGACAGGCAGGGUCCCCGCCUCCUGGGGUGCAGCUACAGCCGCCCAAGCCAUGGCUACGGACCCAAGCAUCUCUGCACUCUCCGGGCCCGGGAAGCAGCCCCUUGCCCCAGCAGGCUCAGAAGUGCCUGCUCUCACUGCCUGGCCUCUCCCGGCGCCCUCUCCGAUCUCAGAGCAAAGUUGAGGCCAAGCCCAGGUGCUGUCACAAACCCAGUCGGCUGUGCCCACUCUUGGGGCAGUGCUGACACAUCAGGCCCCUGCCGCCUCAGCCCUCUCUGGAUUUUGGGCACUGACGAGCAUGGGCUGUGACACCCUCUUUGGGGCUCUGCGGUUCCUGGCAUCUCCAAUCUUCUGGGCGCUACUGCGUUCCCUGGUGCCAGCCAUGGAAGCUGCUUGCAGUAAGCCUGGUCUAGCCGCAGCCUCACAGGGAGCCGGCACCCGUGCGGGCACCUGGAGCUGCCCCACCCCCCGACCCCCAGCCGGCAUGCCUGGCUGUGCGCAGUGGCCAGACCCCACCUCGCUCCCUCAUACAUCCCUCACUGCUCCACGCCUGGCUCACCCAUGUCAGGUGUGACAUCCAGGCCAGUAGCGCGAGCCAAGCGCAGCCUGCCAGGCCAAAACAGGCAGAACGAGCCCAGCAGGCCCGAGCAAAACUCAGGCAAAAGCGUCACCAGCCACAGAGGUUCCCAGCUGGCGAAACAACACCCCAAGGAUCCUGUGACAGUUUCAUUUUUCUUCAUGUGGCCAUUCAAUCUUCCCACCACUGUUUAUUGAAAAGGGUGUCCUUUCCCCAAUGUGUAUUCUUGUUUACUUUGUCAAAUACCAGUUGGCUAUAAGUAUGUGACUUUAUUUCCGGGUUCUCUAUUCUGUUCCAUUGAUUUACGUGCCUGUUUUUUAUACCAGUACCACGUUGUUCUAAGCCUUGUAAUAAAAUUUGAAGUCAGGCGAUGUGAUACCUCCAGGUUUUUUCCUUUUGCUUUGGAUCACUUUGGCCAUUCAGGGUCUUUUUGGUUUCAUAUACAUUUUAGGUUUGCUUUAUCUAAUUCUGUGAAAAAUGACAUUGGUAUUUUGAUAUAGAUUUCAAUGAAUCCGCAGAUUCAAUGAAAGUAUGGUCAUUUUAAUGAUAUUUGUGUUUCCAGUCCAUGAGCUUGGGAUAUUUUUUAUUUGUGUCAUCUACAAUUUCUUUCAUCAGUGUUUCACCAAAGAUCUUUUACUUCCUUGGUUAAAUAUAUUCUUAGGUAUUUAUAUUUAUUUUUGUAGCUAUUGUAAAUGAGAUUACCUUCUUGAUUUGGUUCUCAGCUAAAUUGUUGCUGGUCCAUAGAAACACUACUGAUUUUUGUAUGCUUUUUUGUAUCCUUCAAGUUUACUGAAUUCAUUUAUCAAAUUUAAGAGCUUUUUCUAGAAUUUUUAGGUUUUUCCACCUGUAAGAUUAUAUCUUAAAUAAGCAAAGAUAACUUGACUUGCUCUUUUCGAGUUUGUAUACCUUUUAUUUCUUUCUCUUGCCUUGUUGCUCUGGCUAGGACUUCUAGUACUAUGUUGAAUAGGUGUGGUGCAAGCGGGCAUUCUUGUCUUGCUCCAGUUCUUAGGGGAAGUGCUUUCAACUUUUCCUAAUUCAGUAUGAUAUUGGCUAUGGGUUUGUCAUAUAUGACAUUUAUUAUUUUGAGGCAUGUUCCUUCAAUGCCUAGUUAAAUGAGGGUUUUAUCAUGAAAAUAUGUUGAAUUUUAUCAAGUGCUUUAUUUGCAUCUAUUGAGAUGAUCAUAGGGUUUUUGUCCUUCAUUCUGUUUAUAUACUGUAUCAUAUUUACUGGUCAGCAUAUGUUUAAUCAUCUUUGCAUCCCUGGUGUAAAACCGAAUUUAUUGUGGUGUAUUAUCUUUUUGAUAUGCUGUUGUAUUUGGUUUGCUAGUAUUUUGCUGAAAAUUUUGUGUCUAUGAUUAUAAGGGAUAUUGUUCUGGAGUUUUGUUGUUGUGAUUGUGUCCUUGUCUGGUUUUGGUAUCAAGGUGAUAAUGGCCUCCUAGAAUGAGUUAGAAAAAAUUCCCUCUUCCUCAAUUUUUUGAACAGUUUCAGAAGGAUUGCUAUUAGUUCUUCAUACCUUUGGUAGAAUUUGGCUGUAAAUCCAUCUGGCACUGGGAUUUUCUUUGUUGAAAGAUUUUUUUUUUUAUUACUGACUCAAUCUUGCUGCUGUUUAUUGGCCUGCUCAGGUUUUUAAAUUUUUUCUUGGUUCAAUCUUAGGAAGAUGCAUGUUUCCAGGAAUUUAUCUAUUUCCUUUAGCCUUUUUAGUUUGUGAGUAUAUAGUUAUUCAUAAUAUUCUCUAAUGAUCUUUUAUAUUUCAUAUCUCCUUUUUCACUUUUGAUUCUACUUUUAUUGUCUCCUGUCUCUUAUUGGUUAGUUUAUCAGUUUUGUUUGUCUACUCAAAUAAUCUAGUUUUGUUUUAUCUUUUGUAAUUUUUUUUUGGUCUUUUUUCAUUUAGAUCGGCUCUGACUUUGUUAUUUCUUUUCUUCUGCAGUUUUGGUUUGUUUUUGCUUUUCUAGUCCCUUCAAGUGUAUUAUUAGAUUGUUAAUUUGUAAUCUUUCUACUUUUUUAAUGCAGAUAUUGAAGCUAUAAAGUUCUCUCUUAGCACUGCUUUGCUGUAUCUCACAGAUUUUGGUAGGCUGCAUUUCCAUGCUGAGGGAAUUCAUCACCACUAGACGGGACCUACAAGCAACACUCAAAGAGAAACUGCCUCAAAAAUGGCAAUAUCUUCUUUGUGCUUAAUGACCCUAACUUCAUGAAGACUUGGCAUAUAGGUUUCAUCCAUGUUGCAGCAUGUGUUAGAAUUUCACUUACUUCUAGAUUCAAUGCAAUCCCCAUCAAAAUAUCAACAUCAUUCUUCACAAAAUUAGCAAAAACAAUUUAAAAAUUUAUAUGUAACCGAAAAAGAAAAGUGCAAAUAGUGCAAGCAAUCCUGAGCUGAAAGGACAAAGCUGAAGGCAUCACAUCACACUACCUGACUUCAAAAUACAUUACAAGGCUAUAGUAAACGACAUGGUAUUGGUAAAAAUACACACAUGGAACAAUGAAACAAUUUAAAAAGCAGAAAAUGUCAUGUAUUUAUAACUAACUAAUCUUCGACAAAGAUGACAAGAGCUUACAUUGAGGAAAGAGAACCCUCUUCAAUAAAUGGUGCUGGAAAAAUUGGAGAGCCAAAUGCAGACAAAUAAAACUGGAAUUCUAUCUUCCACACAUGCAACAAUUAACUUACAACAAAUUAAAGAUUUAAAUAUAAGACAAGAAAAUACAAAAAAUACUAAAAGAAAAUCUAGGAAAAAGUAUUUUGGACAUUUGUCUAGGCAAAACAUUUAUGAAGACCUCAAAAGCACAAGCAACAAAAACAAAAACAGACAAGUGGGGCUAUAUUAAACUAAACAGCUUCUGCACAGCAGAGGAAACAACACAGUGAGGAGAAAACCUGUUGAAUGAGAGAAAAUAUUUGCAAACUAUCCACCCAACAGGGGCCUAAUGUCAAGAAUAUAAAAGGAACUCAAACAACUGAACAGGAAAAGACCAACUAAUUACAAAUAAUCCCAUACAACAGCGGGCAAAGGACAUGAAUAGAUAUUUUUCAGAAGAAAACACAAAUGGCCACAGGUGUAUAAAAAAUGAUCAGUCAAUAUCACUAAUCAUUACUGAUUAAGUUAAAAGCACAAUAAGCUACCAUCUUAUACCUGUCAAAAUGAUUAUUAUUAAAAAGACAACAGAUGUUGAUGAAGAUGUGGAAAAAAGGGAACACUUACAUAUUGUUGGUGGGGGUGCAAACUAUUAAAACAGUAUAGAGAUUUUCCAAAAAACUGAAAAUAGUAUUACCAUUUGAUCCAGUAAUCUCAUUACUUGGGUAUCGGUCUGAACAAAAAAGAAUGAAUAUGUCCAAGGGAAACCUGCACUUGCAUGUUUAUUGCAGCACUAUCCACAAUAGCAAAUAUGUGGAACCAAUUAGUUUUCAUCAAUAGAUGAUGGAGUAGAGAAUAUUUGGUAUAUAUACAGCAUGGACUAUUAUUCAGUCAUUAGAAAAGAAUGGAAUCCUGUCAUUUGCAGCAACAAGGAUAGAACUGGGAGGUCAUUAUCUUAAGUGAAAUGAAUCCGGCACAAAUUGGCAAAUAUCACAUGUUCUCACUUAUAUGUGAGAUUAAAAAUAUUUGAUCACAUAGAGAUAGACAAUGAAACUACAGAAACUGGGAAAGGUGAGUCAGGGAAGGGAAGAGGAUGAAGAGAACUGGUUAAAGGGUAUAAACAUACAGCAAGAUAGAAGGAAUAAAUUCAAUAUUUAUAGUAGAGUAGGGUAAAUAUACUUAACAAAAAUAUACUGGGGCUCAUGUUAUGAAUAUCCUAAAUACACUGACUUGAUUGCUAUGCAUUAUAUACCUGUAACACAAUUUCCCACAUAUCCCAUAAAUUUGUGUAAAUAAAAAAAUUAUUUAUUCGUAAGACUGAAUAAUACUUCAUUGUCUAUA